CCUACGGGGGGCUGCAGUUUCGAAUCAUUCACAAUGGGCGAAAGCCUGAUGGUGCGACGCCGCGUGAGGGAUGAAGGCCUUCGGGUUGUAAACCUCUGUCACUGGGGAAGAAACGCUUCAAGUUAAUAGCUUGCAGCCUGACUUAACCCAGAGAGGAAGCAGUGGCUAACUCUGUGCCAGCAGCCGCGGUAAUACAGAGGCUGCAAGCGUUAUUCGGGUUCACUCGGCGUGACGUGUGCGCAAGCGACCAAAGCCCGGGGCUUAACCUCGGAAUUGCGCCUAAAACUACACGGCUAGAGCAGUGGAGAGGGUAGCGGAAUUCACGGUGUAGCAGUGAAAUGCGUAGAUAUCGUGAGGAACACCAGAGGCGAAGGCGGCUACCUGGACAAUUGCUGACGCUCAGGCACGAAAGCGUGGGGAGCAAAAGGGAUUAGAUACCCUUGUAGUC
rnacentral:rRNA from 1 species